UGUUCUUAAUUGAGAAUGGAUUGACAACAGU
rnacentral:piRNA from 1 species